rnacentral:tRNA from 1 species
AAAAUGUUAUCUUAAGUUUAAAGUUUUGAAUUUUUAAUUCAAAGAUUAAUCAUUUUA